AUUGAACGCUGGCGGCAGGCCUAACACAUGCAAGUCGAGCGAGCGGCGGACGGGUGAGUAAUGUAUGGGGACUGCCCGAUAGAGGGGGAUAACUACUGGAAACGGUGGCUAAUACCGCCUACUGUCGGAUAACCCAUAUGGGAUUAGCUAGUAGGUAAGGUAAUGGGUUACCUAGGCGACGAGCCCUAGCUGGUCUGAGAGGAUGAUCAGCCACACUGGGACUGAGACACGGCCCAGAGUCCUACGGAGGAAGCAGUGGGGAAUAGUGCACAAUGGGCGCAAGCCUGAUGCAGCCAUGCCGCGUGUAUGAAGAAGGCCCUAGGGUUGUAAAGUACGUUCAGUCGGGAGGCGUUACCGGCAGAAGAAGCACCGGCUAACUCCGUGCCAGCAGCCGCGGUAAUUC
rnacentral:rRNA from 1 species